rnacentral:rRNA from 1 species
AACGAACGCUGGCUGCUGGCCUAACACAUGCAAGUCGAACGCACCUUUCGGGGUGAGUGGCAGACGGGUGAGUAACGCGUGGGAACGUGCCCUUCAGUUCGGGAUUACCAAGGGAAACUUGGGAUAAUACCGGAUACGUGCGAGAGCAGAAAGAUUUAUCGCUGAAGGAUCGGCCCGCGUCUGAUUAGUUAGUUAGUGGGGUAAUGGCCCACCAAGGCGACGAUCAGUAGCAGGUCUGAGAGGAUGAUCAGCCACAUUGGGACUGAGAGACGGCUCAAACUCCUACGGGGGAAAGCAGUGGUGAAUAUUGGAAAUAGAGCGCAAGCCUGAUCCAGCCAUGCCGCGUGAGUGAUGAAGGCCUUAGCAUUGUAAGCCUCUUUCGUCCGGGACGAUAAUGACGGUACCGGAAGAAUAAGCCCCGGCUAACUUCGUGCCAGCCGCCGCCGUAA